GUCGAUUGUAUAUUAAUUUGUGAACGAUUGUUUUUGUUUUCUUGUGAACGUUGCAAGCAAUAGAGCUAAAUAAGUUAGAAUCAAACAAUAGAAUAUUAACUAAAUUAAUUAGUACCUAUGUAAUUAGCGAGCUUAAAAGCGUGAUUCGAAAGAAUUUAAGUUAGUUGGGUGUCGAUUUACUCGUCAUUUUUAUUAUAAUAUCUCUCAUUCAGACUCAAUCAUCAGAAUCUUCAUAAACUCAAUUUCUUUCCUUUGGCUGAUACCCUUUAUUUCCUUGGGGUAGAUAGUGUGACUUUAUCUUUCGCUGUUUAUGAAGUAGCAAUUACACUAUGUAUUCAGGGGGUUUCAUCCUCCUCAUAGUAUGUGCGCACUAGUUUCGCAGCACCAUCCAGAUUUUGUACAGUCAUGAUUUUUUUUAUUGAGAUCCCCGCACUGAGUAUGCGGAACUGUUGUAACCACCCUGACUUCCCGGAACUCUUUCUCAAAUGUCCGAUCCUCGUCCGGCAAAGAACCCUGUAGAGGUGUGAGAGAUUACCGCGGUAAAUACUAAUAUAACUAGACGCGCGGCUCACUCGUAGGAUGCUCGUCAUACGUACAAUAGGUGCAUGGCCUCACGGAGCACAUUCUCGUAGGGCUUAACCGACUAAAACCAUUAUACACGGGAGCCCUCUUCUUCAAUGUCGCAAAAGCGUUCGACAAAGCCUGGCAUAAUGGUUUGAUUUUCAAACUAUUCAACAUGGCCGUACCGGACAGUCUCGUGCUCAUCAUACGGGACUUCUUGUCGAAUCGCUCUUUUCGAUAUCGAGUAGAGGGAGCCCGCUCCUCCCCACAACCACUCACGGCUGGAGUCCCGCAAGGCUCCGUUCUCUCUCCGCUCCUAUUUAAUUUAUUUAUUAACGAUAUUCCCCGGACGCCGCCAACCCAGCUAGCUUUAUUUGUUGACGACAUAACUGCUUACUACUUAAGUAGAAACAAGUACCUAAUCGCGAGUAAGCUCCAGAGCGCAGCCUCGACCCUCGAACAGUGGUUCUGAAACGAAACUCAGCAAAAAGCACAGCCGUGUUAUUUCAAAGGGGAAACUCACCGCUUAUUUCCUCCCACAUUAAGAGGAGAAAUAUCACACUCCCGAUCACCCUCUUUGGCCAGCUUAUACCUUAGGCCAGGAAGGUUAAGUACCUGGGAGUCACCCUGGAUGCAUUUGCAACAUUCCGCCCGCAUAUAAAAACAGUCCGCGACCGUGCCGCAUUUAUUCUCGACAGACUCUAUCGCAUGAUCUGUAAGCGGAGUAAAAUGUCCCUUCGGAACAAGGUGACACUUUACAAAACUUGCAUGAAGUCCGUCAUGACUUACGUAAGUGUGGUGUUCGCUCACGCGGCCCGCACACACAUAUACACCCUCCAAUCUCUAUAAUCCCGCUUUUGCAGGUUAGCCGUCGGGGCUCCGUAAUUCAUGAGGAACGUCGACCUACACGACGACCUGGGCCUCGAAUCGAUCCGCAAAUACAUGAAGUCAGUGUCGGAACGGUACUUCGAUAAGGCUAUGCUUCAUGAUAAUCGUCUUAUCGUUGCCGCCGCUGACUACUCUCUGAAUCCUGAUCACGCAGGAGCAAAUCACCGUCGUCGCCCUAGACACGUCCUUACGGAUUCAUUAGAUCCAAUAACUCUUGCAUUAGAUACCUUCAGCUCUAAGACUAGGAGCAGGCUGGGGAACCCCGGUAACCGUACGCGUCGAACUCGACAAAGAGGUCGAUGUGCAACCUAACCCGUGCAUCAGCCUGCUGAGUUUCUCGGCGGAUCUUCUCGGUAGGUCGCAAUUCCGAUCCGGUAGUAGAUUCAUUCGCGAAGCUAUUGCUCUUGAGUUGUUAGGUCUCCUUCGGAGGCGCUCGGAUAGUUGUUAACAAAUCCCACCCCCCCUGGGUGAGCCUUUGCUCGCCCACCUGACCUGGUGAAACUGGAAAGGCCUCAGGGCCACCAGUAAUCUUUCAAUCAUAAAAAAAAAACGUAUUCACCCAUGGCUCCCAUGACCCAUGCUCCAUCAAACUGUUAUCGAUUUAAAAAAAUAAGAAUGUUACGAAAUUUUAUGUGAAAUUCACUAAUUUUGUUGAAGUUAGGGCGCCUUCUUUUUUACAUUCAACUACUUACUCUUAGUCUCAAUAACAGCUGUGUAAUGUUUGAACUUAAUCGAAUGCAAAGAACGUGAACAGACAUGCAGAAUAAACAAUUCGACACUUCCUCGUAGCCAAUAAAUUUACGAUUACAUUUUUAGAUUUUCAAAUACUUUAUAACAUCGUUUAUCGUUUCACCUUAUAAAAAAAAUAUUAUUUGCAAUAGAACCAAAGAUACUCAGAGUGCGUAUUGUCGUAUGUUCAUCUUUACCGUAGUUAUAUAUCGUAUAGUGUAGGUAAUGAGCUUUACGCGGGAAGCGAGGGACCGUUUAGCCGCGCGAAGGAUAGGAUUUAUAAUAUUUAAUGGACAAUACCAACAGCGUCAAGAGCAGGAACGAAGGGAUUUCACAAUACAUGUAUAAGGACAAUAAAGACUGCUACAAGCAAAUUAAAAAAAUACGAGUAAUUAGAUACCAACAGCGUCAGGAGCAGGAACGAAGGGAUUUCACAAUACAUGUAUAAGGACAAUAAAGACUGCUACAAGCAAAUAAAAAAAAUACGAGUAAUUAGAUACUAUUGGUAUUGUUAGUUAAACAUUUUUAUUAUGGGUAAGCAGUCCUUGUUCACAAACUUAAACAGCGCACGAUCGAUUGUUGACUAGUUUUUUUAACCACUGAAUUAAAAAAUAGUCGCACUUAUUUCAUUUAUUUUACUGUACUCCGAUUUCACAGCUCACUCAGCAACGGAUUACUGAGAAAUCUAAAUGAUAUUGUAAACAUAAUAUCCAAAUAAGUAAUAGCUUCGAAGUUGUUGGAUACAUAAUACUUUCUCUCUUAAUAACCUAGGCUGUUUCUUUGUGAUUAGUGUUGGAGAAUUUUUAAUUUAAUUAAAAAUAGUAUUUAACAGUAUGUCAUAAUAUCUGUUUUACACUUAAAGCAUUCUAUGUAUUACGUUUUUUUAUAUAUUUCUAUACAUAUAUCCUAUGGAAGUAACAAGCAAUAAUUGCAUAUAACGACAUCUACAAAAUUUAAUUUAUGACUUGAUUAUUCAUUGUAAAUAUAGGAAAGGUUAAACUAAAUAAUAAAUCACAAAAUUCUAACAUUUGUAAAUAAAAAUGAGUUAUUUUUUAAAACGUUUUUGGAUACGCGGCCUAUUUGGACUGAAAUUUUAAAAACCAAUUAUCGAACAAAAUUGUACCUUAUGGUAAAAAAAAGAAGGAAUAAAAUAUAGUUUUACGGUAGCGAAGUCACAAGAGACACGAAUAAUAAAGUAAAGAUUUUCUAAAGUAAAAGUAAUUAUGUUUUUGUGUUUAUAUGAAAUACUGUUUCUAGUGUCUUCGAAUUUAGGUAGUGAUGUUACAAGCUCAAUAAAAAUAGUGUAUAAGUAGCUGUAGAAACAAUCUAACAGUUACUGAACCAUAUCUCAACAUACUUCUAACAUUUUUUAUGUGGACUUUGUAGUUAAUAAUGAGAAUUUUACACAUUUCGGAUCUUUAUCGCUACCUGUUUUAAUAUUGCUAAGCGUUUUGAAUAAACGCCAUGAGAAAUAUGCUGAAAUAUUGGUAGAAGUCUAAUACGCCAGUGCCGGAAAAGCUUUUUACCAAAGCACUUGAACUGAUAAGCCCACCCAUCAAAAUUUUUAUAUAAAGUAGUUAUAUAGAUACCAAUUAAAGAUUACGAUAAAAAAUAAUGCCAAAUUUAAAAAAAAAUUUGUCUGAUGAUUUGGUUUAUACUUGCUCACAUUGAAUUUGAGAGAUUUUGCGUUAAUUUAAAUAUGACAAUGGUUAUUAGCUAUUAUUUAAUUUUGUUAGAUCCAAAAACUAUUUCGAGGAAUAGGCUAGCUGAUUAAUAAAAACUCAAUAAAGGAAUACAAUCGGAAAAUACAUUGUUAAUCAAAUAAGUUUGACCAUUGUUUGGCCUUAAAUGACGCCAUCAUUGGCUUUAUUCAAACAGAUUUUAAUUUAUAUACUCUGUGUAAAACUCAAAUGUCAUUUUUGUUAUGAAUUUAUUGAUAAGCUCAAAAUAAUUUUAGAAUUUCAGCUCUAAGCAUGAAGUCAUGAUUAAAAACACUUUUAAAACUUAUGUUUCAGCGUGGUGUAUAACAACCAUAAGAGUCGACUAUUAUCAAAGCCGGCAAUCUGACUUUUGGACAAUGAUUGGUAAAUCAGAAAAACGAAUUAUUGACUUUGUAUUCCAUUGGCAGUCACAAAACUCUUCGGAACGACAUCUUAGAUAAAUAACAGGUUAACUAUUAACCUUUAUUUAAUGCAGGUUUUGAACCGUAUUCUUUGAAGGAGACGAUUAUAUUCAAAUCAAUCUGUAUUGACAUAUCAAUAAAAUUGAUUUGUCCAAAUGCACAGAUUGCCACCUUUGAUAAUAGACGACUCAUAACAGGUUGUCAGUGAUAUUUGUACUUAGUGUAAGUAAACGGGUGACAUUGAUAGAAAAACGAAAAGAGUGCCAUGUUUAUACAUAGUUUAAAUUGUUUCGGGGCUACUACCCCAUUUUGUCUGUCACUGAUGAUGCUAACACUUUGAAGAGCGAUGAAGAUUUCUGUUAGUUAAUUUAAGAAAAAAACUACACUGAUUAUUUAUAAAAAAAUUUAUGAGUUUUUCAAAAUUAUCAAUUCUAUAAAAAUAAUUAAAAUGGCACCUCCUUUUUUCAAUCAAUGCUAAUCAAUUUCACUUUCAAUCAAUUGUUGAUGCUCACAUAAGAUUUUAUUUAUUUAUUCUUAAUACAAAUAACAUUCGUGCCAAAUUUUAUUGCCGGAGAAUCUAAUUUUGAAUACUUAAUAAUAAAUGUACUUUAAAAUCACUGCCAAUCUAAGUUUUUGCUCUAACGUGUUUGUUAAUAUUGUAAAUAUUUAAAGAAAAAAUAAAUAAAUAAAACAAUG